rnacentral:rRNA from 1 species
GUAGGGUGGCAAGCGUUGUCCGGAAUUAUUGGGCGUAAAGCGCGCGCAGGCGGUCCUUUAAGUCUGAUGUGAAAGCCCACGGCUCAACCGUGGAGGGUCAUUGGAAACUGGGGGACUUGAGUACAGAAGAGGAAAGCGGAAUUCCAAGUGUAGCGGUGAAAUGCGUAGAGAUUUGGAGGAACACCAGUGGCGAAGGCGGCUUUCUGGUCUGUAACUGACGCUGAGGCGCGAAAGCGUGGGGAGCAAACAGGAUUAGAUACCCUGGUAGUCCACGCCGUAAACGAUGAGUGUUAAGUGUUAGGGGGUUUCCGCCCCUUAGUGCUGCAGCUAACGCAUUAAGCACUCCGCCUGGGGAGUACGGCCGCAAGGCUG